GAACUUAAGCAUAUCAAUAAGCGGAGGAAAAGAAACUAACAAGGAUUCCCCUAGUAACUGCGAGUGAAGCGGGAAAAGCUCAAAUUUAAAAUCCGGUGGUCCCGAGUUGGCUGCCCGAGUUGUAAUCUAGAGAAGUGCUUUCCGCGCUGGACCGUGUACAAGUCUCUUGGAACGGAGCGUCGUAGAGGGUGACAAUCCCGUCUUUGACACGGACUGCCAGGGCUUAUGUGAUGCGCUCUCGAAGAGUCGAGUUGUUUGGGAAUGCAGCUCAAAAUGGGUGGUAAAUUCCAUCUAAAGCUAAAUAUGGGCGAGAGACCGAUAGCGAACAAGUACCGUGAGGGAAAGAUGAAAAGAACUUUGAAAAGAGAGUUAAACAGUACGUGAAAUUGUUGAAAGGGAAACGAUUCAAGUCAGUCGCGUUGGCCGGUAAUCAACCCUUGCGAAGGCGGGGGCUUACUUUCCGUCUGACGGGUCAGCAUCAAUUUUGACCGUCAGAUAAAGGUUUGGGGAACGUGGCAUCUUCGGAUGUGUUAUAGCCCCUUGUCAGAUGUGACGGUUGGGAUUGAGGAACUUGGCACGCCCGCAAAGGGUCGGGGCUUUUUGCCCACGUAACGUGCUUUGGAUGCUGGCAUAAUGGCUUGAACCGACCCGUCUUGAAACACGGACCAAGGAGUCUAACAUGCCUGCGAGUGUUUGGGUGGCAAACUCGAGCGCGAAGUGAAAGUGAAACUUGUCGAGAUCUCUGUCGUGGGGAGCACCGACGCCCGGACCUGACCUUUUGUGAAGGAUCCGCGGUUGAGCAUGCAUGUUGGGACCCGAAA
rnacentral:rRNA from 1 species